rnacentral:rRNA from 1 species
AUUGAACGCUGGCGGCAGGCCUAACACAUGCAAGUCGAGCGAGUGGCGGACGGGUGAGUAAUGUAUGGGGAUCUGCCCGAUAGAGGGGGAUAACUACUGGAAACGGUGGCUAAUACCGCAUACCAUCGGAUGUACCCAUAUGGGAUUAGCUAGUAGGUGGGGUAAAGGCUCACCUAGGCGACGAUCCCUAGCUGGUCUGAGAGGAUGAUCAGCCACAAUGGAACUGAGACACGGCCCAGACUCCUACGUGAGGCAGCAGUGGGGAAUAUUGCACAAUGGGCGCAAGCCUGAUGCAGCCAUGCCGAGUGUAUGAAGAAGGCCUUAGGGUUGUAAAGUACUUUCAGCGGGGAGGCGUUACCCGCAGAAGAAGCACCGGCUAACUCCGUGCCAGCAGCCGCGGUAAUUC